GGAAUGAACGUUGGCGGCGUGGAUUAGGCAUGCAAGUCGCGCGCCCCGCAAGGGGAGCGGCGCAAGGGUGAGUAAGGCGACGGUAACCAACCCCGCAAAUGGGCAUAGCCGAGGGAAACCUCGGGUAAUUCCCAGCGAAGUCGCGGAGAGGCAUCUCUCUGCGACCAAAGUUCCGGCGUUGCGGGACGGGCCGUCGUGGUAUUAGCUUGUUGGCGGGGUGACGGCCCACCAAGGCUACGAUGCCUACCGGGCGUGCGAGCGUGGCCCGGCACACUGGGACUGAGACACUGCCCAGACUCCUACGGGAGGCUGCAGUCGAGAAUCUUCGGCAAUGGGCGCAAGCCUGACCGAGCGACGCCGCGUGGAGGAUGAAGGCCUUCGGGUUGUAAACUCCUGUCGAGGGGAGGAAGGCGUAAGCUUGACCGAUCCCGUGGAGGAAGCACGGGCUAAGGUUCGUGCCAGCAGCCGC
rnacentral:rRNA from 1 species